AGGAAGGUGGCCGAGCGGUCAAAGGCGGCAGACUGUAAAUCUGCUGUGUUAUAACACUUCGUAGGUUCGAAUCCUACCCUUCCCA
rnacentral:tRNA from 1 species